CAGCUGGUAGCGGCCAGUAAGGAGGCUAGUGCCAAGAUUCAGGAGCGAAAGGUUGAGGCCUGGAAUAGGGCCGAACCCCGAAGGCGGUUUUGAGGUAGAAAUUACGGGCCUUGCUUUGGGGUUGGGGCGUGGGGGUGGCGCUGGGUCUUGGCGCCUCGGUUGGGUGCGUGUUCUCCUACGCGCCACUAGGUGGGGCUGUCAUGGAAAGGAGGCCCCGUCCCUGCUCUCAGGAGACUUACAUUCCGCCAGGAGAAAGGUAGCGUAGCCCGCGAGGGCUGCAGUGCCCGUGCACGCAGGAACUCCCAAGAUAAAUGCACGUGGUGGUAAGUGCUCCGAAGAGAUUACACAGGGCGGGGGGGCGGGGGAGUGGCCUGGGAGACGUGGGAGCCACGACCUCAGUGCUAAGCAGGAGCCCGCCAUGCAGUAUUGCCGCCCUUGCUUCCCCUCAAAAGGUGGCAAACGCCUGCACCCCCUGCACCAAACUAACCAGCGAGGCGCGCUUGGCCUCCCUUCGAGAAGGGAAGCAGCGGUCGGGCCGGGGCGGAGGAGGGCCGGGCGCCAGAAGGGCCUUUGGGCUUGUACCGUGCAGGUGCCUGGGAGAUAAUGAAGCGGCGCUGACCCGGGCUGUGGAGGCCAGAGAGGCCUGCCACGGCGUCUGGAAGAACAUGGCACUUAGAAGAGGGCACAGGAGGACAAGCCAGCCACCACGGCGCGAGAAGAAGCCGCCGGAAAGAUGA
rnacentral:lncRNA from 1 species